rnacentral:rRNA from 1 species
GUGAACGCUGGCGGUAGGCCUAACACAUGCCAGUCGCACGGCAGCACAGUAAGAGCUUGCUCUUCCGGGUGGCGAGUGGCGGACGGGUGAGGAAUACAUCGGAAUCUACUUUUUCGUGGGGGAUAACGUAGGGAAACUUACGCUAAUACCGCAUACGACCUACGGGUGAAAGCAGGGGAUCUUCGGACCUUGCGCGAUUGAAUGAGCCGAUGUCGGAUUAGCUAGUUGGCGGGGUAAAGGCCCACCAAGGCGACGAUCCGUAGCUGGUCUGAGAGGAUGAUCAGCCACACUGGAACUGAGACACGGUCCAGACUCCUACGGGAGGCAGCAGUGGGGAAUAUUGGACAAUGGGCGCAAGCCUGAUCCAGCCAUACCGCGUGGGUGAAGAAGGCCUUCGGGUUGUAAAGCCCUUUUGUUGGGAAAGAAAAGCAGCAGGUUAAUACCCCGCUGUUCUGACGGUACCCAAAGAAUAAGCACCGGCUAACUUCGUG